rnacentral:rRNA from 1 species
CGGAGAGGGCGCAUGAGAAACGGCUGCCACUUCUAAGGAAGGCAGCAGGCGCGCAAAUUACCCAAUCCUGACUCAGGGAGGUAGUGACAAGAAAUAACAAUAAACCGGCUUAUGCUGGUUUAAUUGGAAUGAGUACAAUUUAAACAUCUUAACGAGGAACAAUUGGAGGGCAAGUCUGGUGCCAGCAGCCGCGGUAAUUCCAGCUCCAAUAGCGUAUACUAAAGUUGUUGCAGUUAAAAAGCUCGUAGCUGGAUUUCUGCGGGGACGGAGCGGCCGGUCGCAAUUUGCGACUCGAGCUAGCGCUUUCCCCGCAUCCUGCCGCGAACCGUGCUACCAUUAGUUCGGUGGCGCUGGGGAUCGGCUCGAUUACUUUGAGAAAAAUAGAGUGUUCAAAGCAGGCCACACGCCUUGAAUAAGUUAGCAUGGAAUAAUGACUAAGGACUUUGGUUCUUUUCGUUGGUGUUCGGGACUGAAGUAAUGAUUGAUAGAGACAGUUGGGGCGGUCCGUAUUCCAAAGCGAGAGGUGAAAUUCUUAGACCUUCGGAAGACGAACAGCUGCGAAAGCGUUCCGCAAGGAUGUUCCCUUUGAUCAAGAACGAAAGUUGGGGGAUCGAAGACGAUCAGAUACCGUCGUAGUCUCAACUAUAAACUAUACCAGCUAGGGAUCGGCCAACGUUUAAUUUAUCGACUUGGUCGGCACCUUAUGAGAAAUCAAAGCAUCUGGGUUCCGGGGGGAGUAUGGUCGCAAGGCUGAAACUUAAAGGAAUUGACGGAAGGGCACCACCAGCCGUGGAGCCUGUGGCUUAAUUUGACUCAACACGGGAAAACUUACCGGGUCCAGACAUAGGAAGGAUUGACAGAUUGAUAGCUCUUUCUUGAUUCUGUGGGUGGUGGUGCAUGGCCGUUUUUAGUCGGUGGAUGUGAUCUGUCUGCUUAAUUGCGUUAACGGACGAGACCCCAGCCUGCUAAAUAGCGCGGCCGAGCUUUGCUCGGUGCGAGCUUCUUAGAGGGACCAUGAUGCGCGAUAGCACAAGGAAGUUUGGGGCAACAACAGGUCUGUGAUGCCCUUAGAUGUUCUGGGCCGCACACGGGCUACACUGGCGCCUGCAACGAGCAUAUCAGCUGGCCCGAGAGGGUCUUGGCUAAUCUUUGGAACCGGCGCCGUGCUUGGGAUUGACCAUUGCAAUUGUUGGUCAUGCAACGAGGAAUGCCUUGUAAACGCGAGUCAUCAGCUCGCAUUGAAUACGUCCCUGCCCUUUGUACACACCGCCCGUCGCUCCUACCGAUGAAUGUUCCGAUGAAAUUUUCGGAGAGCACCAGAGAACGGGGCUCCGCCUUGCAGAUCUGGAGGCUCAAAGUCACUUAAAUCUGAACAUUUCGAGGAAGGAGAAGUCGUAACAAGGUAACC